GUCAAUUCUCAGUUUAGUUACACCGCUCUUUGUUUAUGUAUUGCUGUUAGUAUUCCAAUUUAGCAAAAAAAAGAUUUGAAACGUUUAUGAUUCGAGCUAAUUGGUAUAGUAGGCACGAAAACCUAGUGCAUAAGGGUAAAGAUAUCAUGGCAUUAAUUCAUGAAUUGUCAAAUUUUAAAUAUAAUGGCUCUAAUAAAGCUAAGAUAUCAUCAAAAAUCCGAAUAAGCUUGCAGUAUUAUACUAAUGAAAUAUCAAAUCUCAAAGCUGAAGCAACUUUUCUUUACAAAACGAAUGGAAUAACAACUACCGAUUAUAGUAAUAGGAUCAGUGCAAUUGAUAACUUGACUUCCAGAUUUAAAAGCCUAGAAGAUUCCUUCAAAACUAAUUUAUUAGAUUCAAAUAAUAAAGAUUGCCAAAAGUUUUCACCCCUGCAAUCGAUUGACAAGAGAAAUGAUUUAUUAAGCUUCCAUAAGCAACAUUUCCCAAAAUCAAAUGAGCCAGCAAAUGAUUUUACCUUUUUAGAAGAUUGGGAUAUAAAUGAAGAUGAUGAAGAAUACAUUGACAUAAUUGAUAGUGAUCGCAAAAGGCUAAUCAAUAAAGGCAAAUUACAUGCAGAACAAGAGAACAAUCUGGAAAUCUUAGCCAAUCAAGUCUCUAAACAAAAACAAACUGCCACUCAAAUAAAUCGUGAAGUUCAAGUCCACGUCGGUGACGAUGUAUCCCACCACUACCAUAUUACUUGUAUCAUGCCAACGGAUCUUUAUAUAGGACAUAAUAGAUGACAUAUCAGGAAAUUUGGGAAAAGUCAAUCAAAGAAUGAACAAAGCAACUCACAAUAUAAUGCUCAUAACUCGUCAUCAUAAAACUUGGCCCUAUUGGUUGAUCAUCAUAUUUCUCCUGAUUUUGAUAUUGAUCGUUACUUUCAUAUAGGGAAACAACUUUGAAAUAAAAAUGCGCCAUCUAGAAAAUUUUGAUUUCCAAAAAUGUUAUGAGUUAUUAUAAUAUUUGAAAAUCUAUCUCUUAAUGUUAAUUUGGCUUAUUAUAACAAAUCCUCAAAUAUUUAUUUAAAUCAUUAUUGUUAAAUACAAUAUUGAUAAUAUAUUAUGUAAUUUAUAAAUUUAUUUUUCCUAAUUUUUCUAAGAUAAAUAUGUUAAUAAUGCUCAUUUUAAUCUUUUCUUUAUGC